UUCGGGAAACCGGAGCUAAUACCGGAUAAUAUUUUGAACCGCAUGGUUCAAAAGUGAAAGACGGUCUUGCUGUCACUUAUAGAUGGAUCCGCGCUGCAUUAGCUAGUUGGUAAGGUAACGGCUUACCAAGGCAACGAUGCAUAGCCGACCUGAGAGGGUGAUCGGCCACACUGGAACUGAGACACGGUCCAGACUCCUACGGGAGGCAGCAGUAGGGAAUCUUCCGCAAUGGGCGAAAGCCUGACGGAGCAACGCCGCGUGAGUGAUGAAGGUCUUCGGAUCGUAAAACUCUGUUAUUAGGGAAGAACAUAUGUGUAAGUAACUGUGCACAUCUUGACGGUACCUAAUCAGAAAGCCACGGCUAACUACGUGCCAGCAGCCGCGGUAAUACGUAGGUGGCAAGCGUUAUCCGGAAUUAUUGGGCGUAAAGCGCGCGUAGGCGGUUUUUUAAGUCUGAUGUGAAAGCCCACGGCUCAACCGUGGAGGGUCAUUGGAAACUGGAAAACUUGAGUGCAGAAGAGGAAAGUGGAAUUCCAUGUGUAGCGGUGAAAUGCGCAGAGAUAUGGAGGAACACCAGUGGCGAAGGCGACUUUCUGGUCUGUAACUGACGCUGAUGUGCGAAAGCGUGGGGAUCAAACAGGAUUAGAUACCCUGGUAGUCCACGCCGUAAACGAUGAGUGCUAAGUGUUAGGGGGUUUCCGCCCCUUAGUGCUGCAGCUAACGCAUUAAGCACUCCGCCUGGGGAGUACGACCGCAAGGUUGAAACUCAAAGGAAUUGACGGGGACCCGCACAAGCGGUGGAGCAUGUGGUUUAAU
rnacentral:rRNA from 1 species